rnacentral:rRNA from 1 species
GAUGAACGCUGGCGGCGUGCCUAAUACAUGCAAGUCGAGCGAACGGACGAGAAGCUUGCUUCUCUGAUGUUAGCGGCGGACGGGUGAGUAACACGUGGAUAACCUACCUAUACGACUGGGAUAACUUCGGGAAACCGUAGCUAAUACCGGAUAAUAUUUUGAACCGCAUGGUUAAAAAGUGAAAGACGGUCUUGCUGUCACUUAUAGAUGGAUCCGCGCUGCAUUAGCUAGUUGGUAAGGUAACGGCUUACCAAGGCAACGAUGCAUAGCCGACCUGAGAGGGUGAUCGGACACACUGGAACUGAGACACGGUCCAGACUCCUACGGGAGGCAGCAGUAGGGAAUCUUGCGCUAUGGGCGAAAGGCUGACGGAGCAACGCCGCGUGAGUGAUUAAGGUCUUCGGAUCGUAAUACUCUGUUAUUAGGGAAGAACAUAUGUGUAAGUAACUGUGCACAUCUUGACGGUACCUAAUCAGAAAGCCACGGCUAACUACGUG